GAUGAACGCUGGCGGCGUGCUUAACACAUGCAAGUCGAACGAAGCACUUUAUUUGAUUUCCUUCGGGACUGAUUAUUUUGUGACUGAGUGGCGGGCGGGUGAGUAACGCGUGGGUAACCUGCCCUGUACAGGGGGAUAACAGUUGGAAACGGCUGCUAAUACCGCAUAAGCGCACAGCAUCGCAUGAUGCAGUGUGAAAAACUCCGGUGGUAUAAGAUGGACCCGCGUUGGAUUAGCUAGUUGGUGAGGUAACGGCCCACCAAGGCGACGAUCCAUAGCCGACCUGAGAGGGUGACCGGCCACAUUGGGACUGAGACACGGCCCAAACUCCUACGGGAGGCAGCAGUGGGGAAUAUUGCACAAUGGGCGAAAGCCUGAUGCAGCGACGCCGCGUGAGCGAAGAAGUAUUUCGGUAUGUAAAGCUCUAUCAGCAGGGAAGAUAAUGACGGUACCUGACUAAGAAGCACCGGCUAAAUACGUG
rnacentral:rRNA from 1 species